GUGCCAGCAGCCGCGGUAGAACCAGCACCUCAAGUGGUCAGGAGGAUUAUUGGGCCUAAAGCAUCCGUAGCCGGCUCUGCAAGUUUCCGGUUAAAUCCAUUCGCUCAACGAAUGGGCUGCCGGAAAUACUACAUAGCUAGGGAGUGGGAGAGGUAGACGGUAUUCGGUAGGAAGGGGUAAAAUCCUUUGAUCUAUUGAGGACCACCUAUGGCGAAGGCAGUCUACCAGAACACGUUCGACGGUGAGGGAUGAAAGCUGGGGGAGCAAACCGGAUUAGAUACCCGGGUAGUCCCAGCUGUAAACGAUGCAGACUCGGUGAUGCACUGGCUUGUGGCCAGUGCAGUGCCGCAGGGAAGCCGUUAGGUUUGCCGCCUGGGAAGUACGUACGCAAGUAUGAAACUUAAAUGAAUUGGCGG
rnacentral:rRNA from 1 species